UGCCCAAAAGAUUCGAAAGAGUGUGAUAGACUGCUUUGAAAAGGCGUCACUUCCUAACCUCAGUGAAGAGGAGAAAAGGAAGAUCCUUCACUUUGUGAUUAUCGGUGGUGGACCUACUGGGGUUGAAUUUGCCGUGGAGUUGCAUGAUUUUAUUGUCGAAGAUCUGGUGAAGCUAUAUCCUGCAAUUGAAGAAAACUCUCAACUCCUACUUGCGCUCCGCCUCUUCCUCCUUUCCAUCGCUCAAUAGGAGGCAGCUCAUCUGGCCGUGCAGCGGACCGCGUCCUCAGCGGGUCGGUGAUGGAGGUUGCAGCUGGUGCACGAUGGCGAUUCCAACGACAACAGGAAUCUGCAACUUGUUAGACUUCUUUGCAACCCCAACAAGGCCCUCGUCUGCUUUGUCUACAUACAUGCAUGAUUUCUAUGAUUGGAAUCAGAUAGCACUAACUAUGUGUCAGACUGCUAAUAUUUAUUUGCUUGAUGAUCCUUGAAGCGCACUCUACGCUCAUAUAUGAUCCCACAUAUUCUAGAUGCUUUCUUGAGGUUUUGGCUAAAAAUCUGUGGUGUACGUCACUCAUCAGGUAACUAUGACGGGCUAAUGCCUUAAGCUGGGACAUACAACAAAAUACUUAUUUUAUGGGAGGAGUUUAUGGAACUGGGUAGUGCUCAUCAGGAUGCUCUUGCAGCAAUUGACACAAUCGAUGUGGCUAAUGGAGCCAUGUUCCGUUUAAAAAGAAAUUCCAUACGCAGAUUUAAUGUGUACGAUCGAACUAUCUUUAGUUUAUUAAGGUACUCUUUCUAAUAUUUUACUGUAAUAGCAGGUUUUAGCCAAUAUUUAGUAUUGAGGUGUUGAUGACAGCAAACACUAUCCUGCUUGUCUGUUUUCUAGACGUGUUUCUAUAUGCUUUUCGGUUGUUAGUUGUGAUACUUUUUAUUGUCUUUCGAAAUUAA